AUUGAACGCUGGCGGCAUGCUUUACACAUGCAAGUCGGACGGCAGCACAGAGAAGCUUGCUUCUUGGGUGGCGAGUGGCGAACGGGUGAGUAACAUAUCUGAACGUACCGAGCAGUGGGGGAUAACUAAUCGAAAGAUUAGCUAAUACCGCAUAUCUUCUGAGGCAGAAAGCAGGGGACCAUUUGGCCUUGCGCUGUUUGAGCGGCCGAUAUCUGAUUAGCUAGUUGGUGGGGUAAAGGCCUACCAAGGCGACGAUCAGUAGCGGGUCUGAGAGGAUGAUCCGCCACACUGGAACUGAGACACGGCCCAGACUCCUACGGGAGGCAGCAGUGGGGAAUUUUGGACAAUGGGCGAAAGCCUGAUCCAGCCAUGCCGCGUGUCUGAAGAAGGCCUUCGGGUUGUAAAGGUCUUUUGUCAGGGAAGAAAAGGGGGGGGUUAAUACCCCUGUCUGAUGACGGUACCUGAAGAAUAAGCACCGGCUAACUACGUG
rnacentral:rRNA from 1 species